UACGGGGGGGGCAAGCGUUGUUCGGAAUUACUGGGCGUAAAGGGCUCGUAGGCGGCCAACUAAGUCCGACGUGAAAUCCCCAGGCUCAACCUGGGAACUGCGUCGGAUACUGGAUGGCUUGAAUUCGGGAGAGGGAUGCAGAAUUCCAGGUGUAGCGGUGAAAUGCGUAGAUAUCUGGAGGAAUACCGGUGGCGAAGGCGGCAUCCUGGACCGACAUUGACGCUGAGGAGCGAAAGCGUGGGGAGCGAACAGG
rnacentral:rRNA from 1 species